CUACGGGACGCACCAGUGGGGAAUAUUGGACAAUGGGGGAAACCCUGAUCCAGCAAUGCCGCGUGUGUGAAGAAGGCCUGCGGGUUGUAAAGCACUUUCGGUUGGGAGGACUGCUUCUAGCACUAAUAUUGUUGGAAGUUGACGUUACCUUCAGAAGAAGCACCGGCUAACUCCGUGCCAGCAGCCGCGGUAAUACGGAGGGUGCAUGCGUUAAUCAGAAUUACUGGGCGUAAAGCGCGCGUAGGCGGCUAGAUCAGUCGGGUGUGAAAGCCCCGGGCUUAACCUGGGAACUGCAUCCGAUACUGUCUAGCUUGAGUACAGGAGAGGAGAGUGGAAUUCCACAUGUAGCGGUGAAAUGCGUAGAUAUGUGGAGGAACACCAAUGGCGAAGGCAGCUCUCUGGCCUGAUACUGACGCUGAGGUGCGAAAGCGUGGGGAGCAAACAGGAUUAGAUACCCGAGUAGUC
rnacentral:rRNA from 1 species